UUGGUUUGGAAGAAGCUGAGAAGAUGUUCAAAAACAUCCCCGAGAAGAUGAGGGAUUACUCUGUUCUCUUGAGCUCUUACACGAAACCUGUGAGAACAGUAGAUAAAGCCGAGGCCACGUUUAAGAAAAUGAGAGAGCUAGGGUUCUUGUUGAAACCUUACCUGUUCAACUCUAUGAUUUGUCUCUAUGGUCAGCUCCAGAGACUAGAUAUGGUCGAGAAGCUUCUAUAUAAGUUGAAGAAGAACAAUAUGGAAGUCGGCAGUCUCAAGGUGAACAAUGUUUCGAGAGUAUACGCGAAUAUAAACGCGAUGGAGAAGUUUAAAACGUGGGUUAGUAAAGAAGGAAUCGAACUAGAAAGAGACACAAUCGUUGCAAUGGCAAAAGCUUACCAUAGAGCUGGUUCAAUAGAAAAGGCGCGAUAGAGGUGCAUGGUGAUAAAGCAGGGAGUAAAACAGACGUGUAUCAUCUUUGGAAUUUGUACAAGAAGAAAGGGAAGCUGAAGGAAGAUGGAUAUCGAACUGUGAUUAACUCGUUGUUGAAGUUGAUGAUGUACAAGGAGCAGAGAAUAUAUAUAAAGAGUGGACACCAAAAGGACCAAAGCUAGAUAUAAGCAUACCGGGUUCGCUAAUUUCUCCGUUUUGCGCGGAAGGAAAGGCAUCGAAGGUUGAAGAAUUGAUUAAGUCGAUUCGAGGAUGAGGAAUGGGAUGUAUUUAAAGAUGGUAUCAGAACGUUUGAUCACGUUGCGGCUAAGUGUUGGCUUGGUUACAUUUGUGUAUGAUGUUCCCUAAGGUAGUAACAACCCCUUCUUGUACUUUUUGCUUCGAUAUCAUGAAAUCAUUUAAA
rnacentral:lncRNA from 1 species